rnacentral:lncRNA from 1 species
AACUGCGAGGACAUCAUCCCCGAGUUCCUCUCCUUUGUCAAGGGCAUCGUCGACUCUGAGGACCUUCCCCUCAACAUCUCCCGCGAGAUGCUCCAGCAGAACAAGAUCCUCAAGGUCAUCAAGAAGAACAUCGUCAAGAAGUGCCUCGAGAUGUUCAACGAGAUCGCCGAGAACAAGGACGACUACACCAAGUUCUACGAGGCGUUCGGCAAGAACCUCAAGCUCGGCAUCCACGAGGAUGCGCAGAACC